rfam:Halogeometricum pallidum JCM 14848 contig_41, whole genome shotgun sequence.
AGAUAACUCCGAGUCCUCAUGGCGAGGAUAGGAGUAACGGCUGUAUGGCACAGCCCUCGGUACACCUGUUCGAUUCAAAGAGUGGGGUUUUCGCCCCGCGAGAACAAGUUGUGUCGUAGACCAGCAAAUAUCCCAACUGCGGUACGGGAAGCCCCGUCGUAAACGACGGGGA